rnacentral:rRNA from 1 species
GAUGAACGCUGGCGGCGUGCUUAAUACAUGCAAGUCGAACGGAGAUGUUAGCAAUAGCAUCUUAGUGGCGAACGGGUGAGUAACACGUUGGUGACCUGCCCCGAAGUGUGGGAUAACAGUCCGAAAGGAUUGCUAAUACCGCAUGUGGUCAUUGGGUUUAGAAGCCGAUGACUAAAGCAGUAAUGCGCUUCGGGAGGGACCUGCGCCCCAUCAGCUAGUUGGUAGGGUAACGGCCUACCAAGGCUUCGACGGGUAAGGGACCUGAGUGGGUGGUACCUAACAAUGGCACUGAAACACGGGCCAUACACCUACGGGUGGCAGCAGUAGGGAAUAUUGGGAAAUGGGCGAAAGCCUGACCCAGCAACGCCGCGUGUGCGAUGAAGGCCUUCGGGUCGUAAAGCACUUUUCUGAGGAAUGAGAAAGGACAGUACCUCAGGAAUAAGUCUCGGCUAACUACGUGCCAGCAGCCGCGGUAAUAC